rnacentral:rRNA from 1 species
CACGUAGUUAGCCGGGGCUUCUUAGUCAGGUACCGUCAUUUCUUUCUUCCCUGCUGAUAGAGCUUUACAUACCGAAAUACUUCUUCACUCACGCGGCGUCGCUGGAUCAGGGUUCUCCCCAUUGUCCAAUAUUCCCCACUGCUGCCUCCCGUAGGAGUUUGGGCCGUGUCUCAGUCCCAAUGUGGCCGUCCACCCUCUCAGGCCGGCUACUGAUCGUCGCCUUGGUGGGCCGUUACCCCGCCAACAAGCUAAUCAGACGCGGGUCCAUCUUAUACCACCGGAGUUUUUCACACUGGGCCAUGCAGCCCCGUGCGCUUAUGCGGUAUUAGCACCUAUUUCUAAGUGUUAUCCCCCUGUAUAAGGCAGGUUACCCACGCGUUACUCACCCGUCCGCCACUAAGAUGCCAGCAUCUUGGCGCUUAGUAAACUAACCGCCUCAAAAAUGGCAUCCCCGUCGACUUGCAUGUGUUAAGCACGCCGCCAGCGUUCAUCCUGAGCCAGGAUCAAACUCUACG